UACAGAGGGGGCAAGCGUUUGUUCGGAAUUACUGGGCGUAAAGGGCGCGUAGGCGGCCUGUUAAGUCGAACGUGAAAUCCCCGGGCUCAACCCGGGGAACUGCGUCCGAUACUGGCAGGCUUGGAAUCCGGGAGAGGGAUGCGGAAUUCCAGGUGUAGCGGUGAAAUGCGUAGAUAUCUGGAGGAACACCGGUGGCGAAG
rnacentral:rRNA from 1 species